rnacentral:rRNA from 1 species
UACGAAGGGGGGCUAGCGUUGCUCGGAUUGACUGGGCGUAAAGGGCGCGUAGGCGGAUAGUACAGUCAGGCGUGAAAUCCCCAGGCUCAACCUGGGAACUGCGUCUGAUACUGGAUGGCUUGAAUCCGGGAGAGGGAUGCAGAAUUCCAGGUGUAGCGGUGAAAUGCGUAGAUAUCUGGAGGAAUACCGGUGGCGAAGGCGGCAUCCUGGACCGGCAUUGACGCUGAGGAGCGAAAGCCAGGGGAGCAAACAGG